AUUCCAGCUCCAAUAGCGUAUAUUAAAGUUGUUGUGGUUAAAAAGCUCGUAGUUGGAUCUCGGUGGACUGAGGGUGGUUCUCUUGCUAGAGCUACUGCCCUAUGGGCCGUAGUUUUGCCAGAAGUCUUGGGGUGCUCUUAAUCGAGUGUCCUGUGAUGCUGGCAGGUUUACUUUGAAAAAAUUAGAGUGCUUAAAGCAGGCUUCUAUGCCUGAAUAUUUGUGCAUGGAAUAAUAGAAUAGGAAGUUGUUUCUAUUUUCUUGGUUUUCGGAAAUCAACUUAAUGAUUAACAGGGACAGUCGGGGGCAUUUGUAUUCAAACGACAGAGGUGAAAUUCUUGGACCGUUUGAAGACAAACUACUGCGAAAGCAUUUGCCAAGAAUGUUUUCAUUAAUCAAGAACGAAAGCUAGAGGUUCGAAUGCGAUUAGAUACCGCCCUAGUUCUAACCAUAAACGAUGCCAGCUAGCAAUCUGCUGACGUUUUUCUGUAGACUCGGCAGGAAGCUUCCGGGAAACCAAAGCAUUUGGGUUCCAGGGGAAGUAUGGUUGCAAAGCUGAAACUUAAAGGAAUUGACGGAAGGGCACCACCAGGAGUGGAGCCUGUGGCUUAAUUUGACUCAACACGGGAAAUCUCACCAGGCCAGGACACUAGAAGGAUUGACAGAUUGAUAGCUC
rnacentral:rRNA from 1 species